UGGGGAAUUUUGGACAAUGGGCGAAAGCCUGAUCCAGCAAUGCCGCGUGUGUGAAGAAGGCCUUCGGGUUGUAAAGCACUUUUGUCCGGAAAGAAAUCCUUGGCUCUAAUACAGUCGGGGGAUGACGGUACCGGAAGAAUAAGCACCGGCUAACUACGUGCCAGCAGCCGCGGUAAUACGUAGGGUGCAAGCGUUAAUCGGAAUUACUGGGCGUAAAGCGUGCGCAGGCGGUUUGCUAAGACCGAUGUGAAAUCCCCGGGCUCAACCUGGGAACUGCAUUGGUGACUGGCAGGCUAGAGUAUGGCAGAGGGGGGUAGAAUUCCGACGUGUAGCAGUGAAAUGCGUAGAGAUGUGGAGGAAUACCGAUGGCGAAGGCAGCCCCCUGGGCCAAUACUGACGCUCAUGCACGAAAGCGUGGGGAGCAAAACAGGAUUAGAUACCCUGGUAGUCCACGCCCUAAAACGAUGUCAACUAGUUGUUGGGGAUUCAUUUCCUUAGUAACGUAGCUAACGCGUGAAGUUGACCGCCUGGGGAGUACGGUCGCAAGAUUAAAACUCAAAGGAAUUGACGGGGUC
rnacentral:rRNA from 1 species